rnacentral:rRNA from 1 species
CAAGUAGCGUGAAGGAUGACUGCCCUAUGGGUUGUAAANUUCUUUUAUAAGGGAAUAAAGUGAGGGACGUGUCCCUUUUUGUAUGUACCUUAUGAAUAAGGAUCGGCUAACUCCGCGCCAGCAGCCGCGGUAAUACGGAGGAUCCGAGCGUUAUCCGGAUUUAUUGGGUUUAAAGGGAGCGUAGGUUGACGUAUAAGUCAGCUGUGAAAGUUUACGGCUCAACCGUGAAAUUGCAGUUGAUACUGUAUGUCUUGAGUGUACAAGAGGUGGGCGGAAUUCGUGGUGUAGCGGUGAAAUGCUUAGAUAUCACGAAGAACUCCAAUUGCGAAGGCAGCUCACUGGGGUACAACUGACACUGAGGCUCGAAAGUGUGGGUAUCAAACAGGAUUAGAUACCCUGGUAGUCCACACAGUAAACGAUGAAUACUCGCUGUUUGCGAUAUACAGUAAGCGGCCAAGCGAAAGCAUUAAGUAUUCCACCUGGGGAGUACGCCGGCAACGGUGAAACUCAAAGGAAUUGACGGGGGCCCGCACAAGCGGAGGAACAUGUGGUUUAAUUCGAUGAUACGCGAGGAACCUUACCCGGGCUUGAAUUGCAGAGGAACAUAGUUGAAAGAUUAUGGCCGCAAGGUCUCUGUGAAGGUGCUGCAUGGUUGUCGUCAGCUCGUGCCGUGAGGUGUCGGCUUAAGUGCCAUAACGAGCGCAACCCUUAUCAUUAGUUACUAACAGGUCAUGCUGAGGACUCUAGUGAGACUGCCGUCGUAAGAUGUGAGGAAGGUGGA